rnacentral:rRNA from 1 species
AAGCCCACAGAGCCGCAUGGCGUCAGGGGGAAAAGGAGUAAUUCGCUUCAGGAUGGAUUCGCGUCCAAUUAGCUGGGAUGGUGAGGUAACGGCCCACCAUGGCAACGAUUGGUAGCCGGACUGAGAGGUUGAUCGGCCACAUUGGGACUGAGACACGGCCCAGACUCCUACGGGAGGCAGCAGUGGGGAAUAUUGCACAAUGGGGGAAACCCUGAUGCAGCGACGCCGCGUGGAGGAAGAAGGUCUUCGGAUUGUAAACUCCUGUCGUUGGGGACGAUAAUGACGGUACCCAACAAGAAAGCCACGGCUAACUACGUG